AUUGAACGCUGGCGGCAGGCCUAAUACAUGCAAGUCGAACGAGCGGCGGACGGGUGAGUAAUGUCUGGGAAACUGCCUGACGGAGGGGGAUAACUACUGGAAACGGUAGCUAAUACCGCAUACCAUCAGAUGUGCCCAGAGGGGAUUAGCUGGUAGGUGGGGUAACGGCUCACCUAGGGGACGAUCCCUACCUGGUCUGAGAGGGUGAACAGCCACACUGGAACUGAGGCACGGUCCAGACUCUUACGGGAGGCAGCAGUGGGGAAUAUUGCACAAUGGGCGAAAGCCUGAUGCAGCCAUGCCGCGUGUGUGAAGAAGGCCUUCGGGUUGUAAAGCACUUUCAGCGGGGAGGCGUUACCCGCAGAAGAAGCACCGGCUAACUCCGUGCCAGCAGCCGCGGUAAUUC
rnacentral:rRNA from 1 species